AGAGUUUGAUCCUGGCUCAGAACGAACGCUGGCGGCAGGCUUAAUACAUGCAAGUCGAGCGCCCCGCAAGGGGAGCGGCGCACGGGUGCGUAACGCGUGGGAACAUGCCCUUAGGUACGGAACAACGUCGGGAAACUGACGCUAAUACCGUAUAAUAUCUCUGGAUCAAAGAUUUAUCGCCUAAGGAUUGGCCCGCGUUAGAUUAGGUAGUUGGUGGGGUAAUGGCUCACCAAGCCGACGAUCUAUAGGGGGUCUGAGAGGAUGAUCCCCCACACUGGAACUGAGACACGGUCCAGACUCCUACGGGAGGCAGCAGUAAGGAAUAUUGGACAAUGGGCGAAAGCCUGAUCCAGCCAUGCCGCGUGAGUGAUGAAGGCCUUAGGGUUGUAAAGCUCUUUUAGAUGGGAAGAUAAUGACUGUACCAUCAGAAUAAGCCCCGGCUAAAUUCGUGCCAGCAGCCGCGGUAAUACGAAUGGGGCAAGCGUUGUUCGGAAUCACUGGGCGUAAAGCGUGUGUAGGCGGUGUAUCAAGUCAGGAGUGAAAUCCCAGGGCUCAACCCUGGAAUUGCUCUUGAAACUGAUAUGCUAGAGUACUGGAGAGGUUAGCAGAAUUCCGAGUGUAGAGGUGAAAUUCGCAGAUAUUCGGAGGAAUACCAGUGGCGUAAGCGGCUAACUGGACAGUAACUGACGCUGAGACACGAAAGCGUGGGGAUCAAACAGGAUUAGAUACCCUGGUAGUCCACGCUGUAAACGAUGUCAACUGGCUGUUGGGAGAGAAAUCUUUCAGUAGCGAAGCUAACGCGUGAAGUUGACCGCCUGGGGAGUACGGCCGCAAGGUUGAAACUCAAAGGAAUUGACGGG
rnacentral:rRNA from 1 species